CUCCAUACUAUUAUCUUUUCUCAAAAUCGUGUAUGAAAGGGUGUAUGGGGCUGACAUCCCAACCAGAGCAAGCUCCAUCUUCAUUUGUCAUUAUGAGUGUAUAUAGCGCAUCUUCAGUUGUCUUAUAAUCUAUUACCUAUCGAAUAUUGAAAACCUCCGGUUCUCACAGUUCCGUAUGACACGGACGUAUUAUCCUGCACUUAGACUUUUUAAGUAAAUAAUGCGAAUUCCACGUUUCUUUUUGGUAGUAUGGAUAAAGGAAUGACUCAUGCUGUUCUAGGCAAUAUUUCGGUGAGAAAUGUUCACUGUUUAUUGGUCAAAGUAGGUUGGCCCUUCACCUCCCAGGCGACGAUGCUGAUGCUCCACUCAGAAAAUCUUAAUGACAAUUCAUGAUCGUGCUUGCUCAGGUUGGGAUAUCAGCCCCAUAGACCCUUUGAGAAAAGAUAACAGUGUGGAGCACAAGGUACACUUCCACACAGACGCACACUUUUGCUCACGACACCGCCAUCGACUCCGGUAUUGGCAGCAGCAGGGUGGUGUGGCGGCGUGACAGGGCUGACAUGCAAUGCGGAUACACUAAGAGCUGCCGGUAGCAAUUCAAGACCCGCAGGAGUGGCCUCGGCUGCAACACUUGCCCGGACACACCACGGCUGGUGCCGCAGCCUGGGCAGCAGGGCAGUGCUGCAGGCUGAGAGUGAUUGUUGGGUUGCUGCCUGACCAGGAAGGCAGCGAGGAAAGAUGCAUAAUGAUUUUUCAAUAAAGUGAAGAUAAGCAGAAUGUGUCAGACUGUGGCUGUGUGUCCUGUUGCACUGAAGGAUCUCCCAUGUGGCGGCUGUGACUGGUGAGCAACAAGUGUGGUGUUAAGCUUGGUGACUGAUUUAGUUAAUUGUAAGUGUUGCUAAUAUUUGGAAGGUAAGAGAUUCUCUGUUGAUUUAGUUAAUUGUAAGUUGCUAAUAUUUGGAAGGUAAGAGAUUCUCCUACAGAAGUGUUAUCACUGCCACAGUUCAUGUCUUUGUGAUGGAUUUGGCCAUUUUCAUAAAAAAAAAUAUUGUCAAGAAAACAGUCAAGAACAGAAAAACUUGACUGACUGCACUGUUGUGAUGACACUGAGGAGCAGCAGAGGUUAUGUUGAUUCUCAAGUUUUUGUGUAGUGAAGGUUUAUAACACAGACAAAUGCAGGAUGGUGGAAGGAGUCUGGCCUGACUUGUCUCCUUGUUGAUAACCCUCCACACAUCUGUGAGCUUCUCCUCAACCUCUGCACCCACGCCACAGACCACGUUGCAGUUUGUCAUGUCACACACUCUUGCUGUGUUGUGUUUGUGGUAAGGAGAAAAUAAUGAGGCUGCAGACUCCAGCAGGGUUGCAUUUAAUGUCCAAGGUAACAGGCUGCAUUUAAGGAAAGUAUGUAAUUAUAUACACCAAUAUGCCUUUCAAAAGACCAAGUAUUAAUCUUUUUUGGGGUGUUGCUUUUGUGAAAAAAAUACUUAGCAUGAAGCAUUGUAUUUGUAGGCCACCAAGUGCUACCUGCUGUCCCUUGACCCACACACUCCUCUCAGAUAGCAUUCCAAACUAUAAGUUCUAUGCAAAUUACAUAAUUGUUCUCUUGUGAUAAAUACAUUAUACAAUUAAGUAACAAUAUUUGCACUUUCAGUCUGCAAAGCACUUAAUUUUAACUAUAGAUGAUUGCAAUUUAUUGUACUUUUUCCCCAGAUUUAGUAUUUGUCCGUUGAAAGCCAGUCCCGUAAAUCUAACGUACACAACCAUGGGUGAGUGAUGCCGUGAUGCCUUGGUGUGGGAGUGACACCUCCCUACCCAUCAGGCAGAGCAGGCGGGGUGGCAGGGGAGGGUGUAAUCCCUCAGGGUGACACUGAUUCACUGGAGGACACACAGUAGCUGAGGGUGAGGAGACAGGCUGGCAGUAUGGAGGGCUGUCUGAUCUUCUGUGAGUGUGGUGCAGAUGGCUGGCAACCACAUGACACUAAGUGGUAUUGCCAGUGUGGCAACAGAUGAUAGUCUUUGGCAUUUCCAACCAGCAUAAUGAUGUCUGACUGGUGACCAGCUUGUGUGUCAAGCUGAUGCACCCAACACAAGCUGCAGCCCUCAUGACUCACUGACUGGUGGUCCUCGGGGACACUGUAGUGGCAUGCUGGCAGACCUUAUACCAUGUAUAUAAAUAUAAAAUUGAUAUAUGCAUAUCUAUGCCUACACCAGAGUUUUUUCUAUAAAUAUAAUGCAUACUUUCAUAGAAAAUGUGGACCAUCUUCUACAUCGUGAGCACGCCGGCUCAAUGCUGAGACCAAGAGUUGUGGGGACCUUUGGGCCGGUGGCACGCCGCACCAGCCGCAUCAAGACCACUGUCCUUCAGGCAGUAUUUGUGCACUCAGGAUUUCAUUUACUGGUUGUCAUCCACACAAUCUGUCACUGUCUUUGAGCAACUUAACAACCAUUUACAAGGAAACUACCUGUCAGUGUACCAUCACCAGCACUUCCCCUCAACAAGUCCUUCAAUGGUUGAGCUUGAGGAUCACCGCAGCCGAGACACAACUCUACUGUUCAUGCAAGAACAUGAGCUGAAGCUUUGGUGAACCUGACGACCUGAACAACCAUAGGGAGCAGCAGCUCAGCCUCUCCUGGCAUAUCUCUCUCCUGUGCCACACACUCCCAGAUACUGUCAAUGCCUAGCUGGGUUGUUCCCAUCUAGAGGCAUGAAGCAGGCCAGCUUUGUCACUGUGCAGGAGACAAAUGGUUGAAGCUCGUUGGGUCUGAUGGCUUGGGGUGUGCGGUGCUGGAGAGUUCAUGGAGAGAGUUGGGUGUGAGUUGGAAGGUGGUGGUGUUGGUGGUGUUGAUGGCGUCGGUGGAGUGUGGUGGCUGGACUCAGGUCACAUUGGCAGGGUUAGGGGUGUUCUUGGUGCCAUGGUCGCCGGCCGCCACAAUCUCAGAGUAGAGGAUGUCAAUGGGGAUGCGGUCAUCAUACAGGGUGGGCGCCUGCAGGAUGAUGCCAGCUGUGCCCAGCAGCACCGCCAGCGUGAAGAUCCACAGGAACAGGCGGUCAAGCACCAUAGCCACGUACUUCCAGUCCUCUUUCACCUGGCGGGGAAACAUUGGGCUAAUAACAGUUUGUCAUUGGUCCUACAGUUCAUGAUGAACUUUCAUGCUGAAAGUGGCUUAUAAGUUCACAUUCAAAAGGAACUCUUUCCUCAUAAAAUUUUUUGUAUUAUAACAGUUCUGAUAUUUUAAUCAGUUACAGAAUUUAGAGAAAAUCCUGAACUGGUUUUUAAUUUUGUGUGCAUUGAUUACAUAGUUUAAACUGUUUUAUUUUAUCACAGGUAGAUCAUAAGCCCACACUGCUGACAACACAACACCAGGGGGCACUGCUUCCCUUUCAUGGAUAAUGAAGGACUCCUCCUCCCGACGGGUAUGCUCAGCGAUGAACUUGACGCCCUCGAAGGCCUUCAUCACCUCGGGACAGUAUUGGGUGCUGCCAUUGUCCGUGGUGCCCCGGCCUGGCGAUCCCACGUUGCCGUUGAGCCCCACGCCAAGGUCAUCUGCUAGCACUGCUGGUCCAUGGAUCUUGCAGCCACCGUUGAUGCCCAGAGCCUCAAUGUCACGGCUGGGAAGGCACAUGUGUGAGGAGGAGGUUGUGCAAUAUUCAGCAACUCAUCCAGUCCCACUUGAGUGUUUUCCUGUAUGGCGAUGAGAAUGAAGGUCAGUGCUUAUGUGAGCAAUCUUUUUUCAUUCACUCUCAUCACCACAGGAGAACACUCGUUUGGGGCUGGAUGGGCUUAAGAGCUGAAGAGUACAAAGGGAGUCUAUCAGCAGCAAGCAAAUGAAGAGCAAGAAAUGUACUGUAUAGCCAAACAUAGUACUUUUUCAAAUGUGUUGUGGAGAUAAAAACAUCUGGGGCCACUCUGACACCAUCUAGACAAAUGAACAACAGCACACUAUCAAGAACUGUGAGAGAGGUAACUGCCAGUGCUUGCCGGCUACCUGGGGGAGUACUCGCUGUGUGGAGAGCGCGGUCUGCUGCCAGCCAUGUCCAUGUAGAUGAGUCCCUCCCGAAUGGCGUCCCGCAGCUCCUGCUGGCUCCUGCAGGACACACAAGGCAUUGACACCACACCACUCAAGGAACAACUGUAAUGUGCUGUUAUGUUGAUCAAGUCUAAUUUGUAUUCUUUCUAAAACCAACUUGUAAUUUUAUUUAAUAAAAAAAAUGCAUAGAAUAUAAAACAUUUU